CUUUUCAGGUCAGACUAAGUCUAAAAACUCUGAUGAAAAAGGUUUCAACCAUCCAAAUAAUCUGCACACUUCUGCCCCUGCUUCAAGGAAGCGUCUCCUUAAAGCAUUAAGUACUCUCCCAUGAAAGCUUACUACACAUCUACACUUGAAAGAAUCCUAGUGGUAAGCAGCAUGAAGAUAUUCAUGGAUGCAAGGAGGCAUAUUACAAUAGGAACCAAUGUGUUGGAAGCCAUAUGAGUGGAUGGUAUUUAUUUAACAGUGGAGUGGAAGGUCCUUGAUGAACAGGGUAGGACCAGAUCAUGAAAGUCCUUCAAAGACAGCAGGUUCCAGAACUACGUGGCAGAUGGUGCUUACACGAUCCUCUUCUCCAGCCACCUUUGUCAGCGUGAUUAUGAAAGAGUUCCCUUCCAUUAACACUCCUGUAGAAUUUUGUGGAAAUCUGCAUACUGUCCUCCAAUGUGGAACAAAUGAACUGGGCUCUCAACAGGUAGAUAAAACUCCUCGUCACUCUUUGGAACAGCUUGAACCUUAGGAUCACUCUGUUGUUCUGAUGUUCCAGCUUCUUUGACUAGAUAAGAUGCUUCCAGUACCCUCUGGUGUGGUGUAAAGGCAAUUAAACGACAUCUGUGCUA